rnacentral:sRNA from 1 species
AUAUUUGUUGAGCCAAAACUUUCAGUGAGAAAGUGCGGGGGACGUAAUAGGCGUGUAUAAGAACAAUAAUUACCGCUUCUUCUCACCUUGGGGUGAAUCGCAUAGAACGAUAGUGCGUAGGGUUGACUCCCAAUCCGAAUCCGACAGCUAACUUCGCAGGCGUUAAUAUAAGGAGGA